AUACGUAUGGUCCUAGCGUUGUCCGGAAUGACUGGGCGUAAAGGGUGUGUAGGCGGAUGUAUGUGUCAGAUGUGAAAUACCUCGGCUUAACUGAGGCAUUGCGUUUGAAACUGUACAUCUUGAGCAUGUCAGGGGUAAGCGGAAUUCCCGGAGUAGCGGUGAAAUGCGUAGAUAUCGGGAAGAACACCGGUGGCGAAGGCGGCUUACUGGGGCAUGUCUGACUCUAAGGCAGGAAAUCGUGGGGAGCGAACGGUAUUAGAUACCCCGGUAUUCCACGCCGUAAACGAUGGAUACUAGAUGUCAGUUGCAUAAUAGCAGUUGGUAUCGAAGCAAACGCAAUAAGUAUCCCGCCUGGGGAGUACGGUCUCAAGAUUAAAACUCAAAGGAAUUGACGGGG
rnacentral:rRNA from 1 species